GUUAGUUUAAUAUUCCUAAUCAUUUAACGGAACAUAAGAGAGUAAAAUUCAGUUUUGAGUGUGAAAAGAGCAUUUUUUAAGGGAUCAAACUGCCACUUAAUACUUACUUGACAAUGUAAAACAUGAUCAAAAUGAGAAAAUGCCGAUGUCUCACCUGAAACUCUGGGUUUACUGAGUUAAACCUGCUCCCGAGCAGGUUAGGUUCACGGAGUCUGUUACUGUGGUAACUGACCGCGAGGUUGAGUUACCUCUCUUUGUGAAACAGGUUAGAGUUACCCCUCUCUCCCUGGUUUAACUAACCCUCCUUUGUGAAACGGAAAACUCAGAGUUUCCCUGAUUUCAGGGUUAACAGACUCUGAGUUUCCAUUAAACCUGCUACGUGAAACGGACCCCUGGUUGCAGUAUCACUAAGGCUGGAAUCACUGUGUGGCGGCAGUAGGCAAGGAGGUAGUCCAAUAGGUAGUGCGGUUAUUGGUCGUCCAAUAACCGGAAGGUUGGCAGUUCUAUUCCGACCUAUCCUGAGUCUGUUCGUUGUGUCCUUGGGCAAGACACUAAACCCACCUUGCUCCCAGUGUGUGUCCUUCAACGAUGUAUGAAUGUGAGUGUUGUGUGGUGGUGGUUAGAGAGGCUGUAGGUGCAAACUGGCAGCCACAUUUCUGUCAGGGCAGCUGUGACGACAAAAGUAGUUUACCAGUAGUUUUCGGCCUGCUUUUUGGGAGGUGCAGGGGGCCGGGCCAGCCUCUGGCCCGGGCCAUAGUGUUGUGGAUUGUGGUGAUUUUUGUUGUUCCGUAUCUUCAUUACUAUGACUGUCAUUAUUGUUAGCAUCGUUGCGGUCAUUCGUUUGCUGUCAUUGCUGUCGCCGGUAUUUCUGGUGUUGUUAUUGCUAAUGCUAUUGUGGUUGUUGUAUCGUCGCUGUUGUGUCGGUGAUUCGGGGGGAUUGUGUGUGUGUGUGUAUAUGUGUAUAUAUAUGUAUAUGUGUGUAUGUAUGUGUGCACGUAUGUUUGUAUGUGUAUGUAUAUGUAUAGAUAUAGUUAUUAUUAUAUAGAUAUUCCAAUGUAAUCCAAUCAAGAUUUUUUUUUCUUUUCUUUUUAAAUUCUCUAUUACAUAUUAUAUAAAUUCUUUCCCCCUUCGCUCCCUCACAAAGUAUUUUUGUAAAUUUUUAAUUUUUAAUCUUUUUGUUGUUGUUGUUGUUUCUGUUGUUGUCGUCACUCUGUUUUGUUGUUAAAUAAAAAAAUAAAUAAAAAAAAGAAGUAGUUUAUCACCACCAAGGUGUGACUGUAUGAGCGAAUGAUGUAUCCAAUGUAAAGUGCUUUGAGGGUCUCUGAUAAAGUGCUAUAUGAAAUCUGAUGCAUUAUUAUGUCUGUCUGUUUAUAUACUGCUAAGUAGCCUGUGAAUUCCCCCUGACAAAUGCAUAUUAUUGGUUAUUUUCUUCCUGUAGUUUAUUUUUGCCAGAGUGAAAAAAGGCAUUUAACCAUGAGGAGUCCAGGCAUGCUGCCUGGUAAACCGUACUGAUUGUCCUUUCAAAAUAAAAGCACUAGGAGUAGAAUGUCGUAACCAAAGAACCAUGUAUAAAAGUUCAUAAUAAAUGCAAACGAUCGCUAGAUGAACAAGAAAGUCCAUAAAAUAGGAUCAUGAAAUUUCAUGUUAUAUCAACUAGGGAGUGAUUUAAUCAAGAGCUCACACAAUUCAGUAAAAGUGCACCUAAAAUAUUAGACCCUUUUUAAGGCUUUUAAAAAUAUUUUAAAGCCUUGAAUUUGAUCAAAUCUAUUUCAGGGUGUGCUGGAGCCCUGGAUUCAUCAAAAUAGAUGGCAGAAAUUAACCAAGAACAUUGGUUGAUUAUUGCUUUUAAACCUCAGACCGUACCCUUGUCUCAGUUGACAAUAGGACCAGUCUGCUCUAACCACACACAUGUUUGUCCAUGUGAAGUAUUUCUGACAAACGCUUGCACAAGAAGAAUGUUAAAAGCCUCCAUGUUGAACCAUUAGUCAUGAAACCACUGAAUGUGUGGCAUUUAGCCCAUCAAGGCUGCACGCGCUUCACAGCCCCUUUAAUGGUUUGACAUCCUUUUAGAUCGCCAUUAUCAACUUUUCAAACUCAGUCAUUAUUUCCAGCAGUUUUUUUUCUUCUUUUUUUUACUUGCAGCUGAUGUCGAGAAAAGCCAUGACAGGAAAAGUACACACAGAGGGCGAUUUCUCCCCUCUAUAUGAUCGACUGUCUGUCACUUUCUAAUGCCUAUUCAGCCGAAGAGGAAUAUCACAGAGAGAGAAAGUGAAACAUAAACAUGCUGACAGCCUUUCCUUGUCUCUCUUUAGGCUGCUGGUAGGUGACUUUGAGAAAUAGCCGCAGUAAUAUGCAUUUCUCCUGCUGGAUUCACAUGUAUUAUUCCUCUCUGUAAAAACAGAGCAGGCCCCUAUAUGCAUCAAUAUCAGCUGCCUUUUCUUCAGUCAGGUGUCAGUGACUACCUGUGCAGCAACAACAAUAAAGAAUAAAGAUGCACAUGCUCAGAGCCCGAUCCAAGGCAUAAGCGAACUAAGCGCCUACUUAGGGCCUCGCGACCAAUAGGGGCCCCCCAAGAGCAAUCAAAUUUUUAUUUCUUUGCAUGUAUGAGUGAUUCUUUCUGUAUGAUUAAAUAUAUAUUAUUGUAAAAAUAAAAUAAAGUAAAACUUUUUCGUGCUGCUGCUGAUGUAGGCCUAUGAUUCUUACUGCCGAUAUUUCAAAGCUCCGCUACCCUUAUGUGCCUCCUGCUGUGCAAUGUGCACUGAGCAUCCUGAAUGUGUUACAUUUUGAGAUUAAAAACCAUAUGUGGUCAUCAUUCAUCAGUUAUUCAUUGGUAUUGUUUAUAUAAUUGCAUUGUUAUUAUUUAUGCUUUUACCUAGGUCACCCCCUUAAAUGUGUAAAGACAUGUCAGGUACAUUAAAUUUAUACUGUAGCAGGUGUGUGAAUGUUCAACAAUCAAUAUUAUUGGCAGAAAUAGAGGGCCCCAAAACUAAAUUUUGCUUAGAGCCCCAUUGAGGCAUGGGCCGACUUUAGCUUUAGCAUGUUUGAGUAAGACAGCUAACUUCUGGUCUCUCCUCGUGUCCAUUUCAGAAAGCAGCUUUAGUACAAACUGAGUUUGUUAACUCUGAAAUGAGAGAAAUUCUGGGUCCAAGAGUUAAGUAACUGAAAUCUGAGACAGAGGGGUAACUCAAGCCUAUUCCAGGAAGUGAGGCAACUUAAACUUAGAGCAGGUUACUAUGGUAACUAUGGCUGUGAAUGUAACCUGGUUAGGAGCAGGUUUUCCUGAAUGAACCCAAACUUUGUCUCCUCCCCCUUUCUGUCUCCACACACCAGGCGCAGGUAAAAUCAUGUGUGAAUGAAUUAGGUUAAGUCAAUGUAAAGACAUGAUUAGAUACUCGUACAACUCUGACAGCGCAAAUGACGCGAAUUGGGCUGGAGCUGAAAAUGUCUCAACUUCAGCAGAUAUUCGUGUCGCAAUAACUGAUCAGCACGAAGGCUGCCAGGUGAUGUAUGAAAACAGACGGUUGUUCACUGGUAUCUAAAAUGGAGGACAAAUUGAUGGUGUCGGUGUGUGGGUGUCCCCCAAAUUAUAUGAUACCUUCUCUUUCAAUUAGCGAAACCUGAAUAAAAAGGAGCUCGCCUGGAGACAACCGAGUGAGGAGGUUGGAUUACCUGGUUAAAAAAAAAAAAAAACCUUUGCCUAUCACUUGAUCCUGCUGGUUGAAUAGGCAGGGAUUACCGUUGAAAUUACCGUUGACAAAUGAAACGGGUAAAUACUAAGUAUUCACAUGUAUAGAGUCGCGCAAAUUAAGCGAUUUUACUCAUGCUUGGUGUGAGCGCCUCAUUACAGAGAUAGAAAUACAAAUGUCUGCAUUAAUUCAUCAAGUCUGUAUCACACGUGUAAACAGAGAUUCAGCAUCUGUUUGAACUAAGUCUGUUAAACUGGACUUCCUCCAGAUCUGUGUUCGGUCCAUCUCCGAUCUAUUCCAGUUCAGCUCCAUGCUCCUAACAGCUGGAGUCAUGGUUUAAUCCAGAAUCAAUACCUUUCUGCCUCCACAGUGAGCUCUGAAAACCUCUAACCUGUGGAUACCAAGCCUUCUGCUCCAGCUGAGACGGAGCAGAGACACAACACAGAGGGGUCGGCUGUGGCUCAGUGCUAGAGGCAGUUGUCCCUGAAUCAGAGGGGUUCAAUCCCAGGUCCCACUGUCCAUCUGCUGAGGUGUCCUUGGACAAGACACUUGACCCCAACCAGUCCCACUGGCUGGGCCCAAAGGUGUAUGUGUUCAAUUAGUCAAAAAACUGAUGGGCGCUAUACAUAGCAGGCUCUGCCAUCAGUGUGUAAAUGUGUGUGACCUGUGACGUAAAAGCACUUAGAGAUGUCAGGAGACUAGAGGAGGUGAUCUAUAAACACAGUCCAUUUACGGUUUACCAUUUUAAACACUGACUUAAGUAAAAACCUAUCAGCUCUGAUGCUGCAGCAGAACGUAGAUGGACCAAACACAGAUCUGGUGGAUUUCCAAGGUGACUUCAAAAAUUCAAUGUCAUCUCUGUAAAUAUAAACACAUCUUUAAUUAUUUCUCCCCUGAUUAAACUCAUUUUGCAGCAUUUAGAAACUGUUCUGUGUACAUGAGUGACAGAAAAAGCAUCCUCACAUCCCACUGAGGAUUUUCCUGAUCCCUCACCCAGCAGAGAAAGACUCAUUUAGUCCGAGAGGGAAACUGUCAAUCAAACAAGAAGUCAUGGCUAAGUCUUCUCACUCCACUCCCUGCUCCCUGCUCUCUUUCUCUUUCUAGACUGCAUUUAACAGAGAGCAACCUUCACCGCUGCCCCUCUGGCUGUGCUCAAGACGUCAUGUGUGAUAAAAACAUUUCAGGGGCUGAUGUCAACAAGCUUUUCUUACAGCCAAGGUCAUGUGGCAGCUUCCUACUCAAAGGACAAACUGGAGACGACAUGCCAUAUGCUGCUUUGUAUCAGUGUGAGAAUAGCUGCUUGCAGACUCUUACAUGUGGAGAGAUUUUCACUGUGGAUGUACAGUUUGCCUUUUUUUCAUGUAUCUGCAGGAACAUGACUCACCUUUUCUUGAAACAGAUUAUUUUGAGUGGCAGACAGGGCCUGUUAGGGCUGUACAAGUUGCUUAUUUUCAGCCUCAAAGGUUUUCUUCUUUGUUGCUUGCAGUUUUGUCUGGGAUUGAACCCUGACUACUGCAUUAAACUAACCUUUUGCUUCAUGUACAAAAUCAAACAAACAAACAAAACUUUUCUUGUAUCUCAUUGUGACUAAUUAAUGAAUAAAGACAUUCAGAUAAUCCUGUUAGCAUCAUCCCAAGAGAUGUCUCACAGCCUCACACAGGUUUCCCGUCAGUCUGAGGGCUGAAAAGUGAUGAUAAAGUUCGGGUUGCAUCACAAACUGAUGACCCACUUAAGUUUAAAGUUGUUCUGUUGUUGCAUGAGGGGGAGUAAUCAGUGAAAACACAGCAGAGGAUGUGCCAAAGAUAAUUAUUUGCUUUGUCUGAGUCUGUCGUGAAGCUCUUUCCAAGUGUCAAAAAGUACUUUAAUGAGUACAAGGUUAAUCAAAACAUUGAAGGGUUAGUCACAAACAGAUGUAAAUAAACUGGAGUUUUCAAGGUUCAUCUGUAGAUGAAUAGCUAACAAGACCAUACGUGAAGAGACGUGCUGCAAAUCUAGAGACAAAGCAAAUUUUAAGAGUCUAAAAUAAAUGCAAAUGCUUAUUGUUGAAAGACGUUGCUGCAAAAAGCAUAAAUAUGCAUCAAUAGCAUAUCACCCCAAUUCUGGCGUCCCUCCAUUAGCUUUUAUUUUCGAAUUCAUUUUAAAAUGUUAUUGUUUUUUUUUUAAUCUUUAAACAGAUCACCACCACAGUACAUCUCUGACCUCUUAAAUGUUUAUCCUUUAACUCAAGCUACUACAAGAGAAGAUGAUACAACGCUGAUUAAGCCGUCCUGCUCCUCUAACACCUCGCAGUAAUUUCUGUAUUUGUUUUUUUUUGCAUUUGGUGUCGGGGGGGCGACAUUCCCGCACUGGCGCGUAGGAGAUAAUGCGUUCUACUCUGUUUUACCUGACAACGAUAAGGGAGAGGGGAGGAGAGCGCUGCUAGAAGCAACAGGGCGGAGAACCCGAAGAAGCCACUAAGAGGUUAAGAAGUGGAUCCUACUAGAAAGAAAAAGCCUUCCUGUUCAGGAGAAGGUCUGUUGGCGAAAAAAGUGACAAACGGAGAAGACAAACGCAGAUUUACAUCGGCGUCGCUUUUCCUCGAUGGAGAGCCCUAGAGGAGGAGAUUGGACUGAGGUCUGACAUCAAUGUUGCCUUGAUAUUGCUGGAUAAGUAAGUGACUCUGUUCAUUACCAGCAGGAUGUGUUGCUGUUACAUGUACUGGACCGAGUACUUUAUUAUUUUCUUGGAAAUGGUGAUAUGAAUGUCAUACAUUGUUAGCAACCUGGUGUUCGCCACAUUGUGUGACGUUUGCCUAACGAGCAGUAAGUUAAUUGGUGUGUAGUAGUGUUGCUGUGUGUAACUUACUGCAGGGAGUCUGUGUGCUGUGACGAAUAACUUUAGAAGCCUAUAUGUUGUGUGGACAGUAACAGUCCAUGUACUGAGACAAACGGUAUGCAGUGAGUCAUUAGUGUUACUCCGUGUAUGGGUUACACUAGGCUGUACGUCAUAUUGAGGUGCUUGCCAUAUUGUUGUAACAACGCAGAAAUCCUCUAGGGGACAAUAGAAGUUAUAGCCAUAGCUUUAAAAUAACCAUGAUUGUAAGACUGACAUUGACCAUUUCAAGGUUUUUAUUCCAUCAUAUGUUUAAAAGCCUAGAUCUUGUUUUUCUGCAGAUAUAAGUGAUAUUAGUAGAAGGUAAUGCUUGAAAUGAAUAAAAUUAGUUGAUGUUUAACAUCAGGCUGCAAAAAGUAAAAUCUACAAGUGAAUCAAGACAGUUUUUGAAGGACAGUCUGGAAAUACUCUGAUCAUCUCUGUGGGAUACAAAAAAUCUCUGGAUGUUGCAGGGAGCUUAAUACCUGAAAUUUGCCGGCCUCACAAAGUGAGUGGAUUUUACUGUAAAUAACCUCAUUGUACUGUUUGAUUUUCAGAGCUGAUAAUGUAAACACAACAGUAAUAUGCUUUAUAUGGCAGCAUUCUCCACAUUACUCUAAACUCUGAAUACCCUUUUUUUAGGUUUGGACAUAAAUUAAGUCUCAUCAAAGGAAGUAUUAACAGGAUUGAAGAAAUUUAUUUCACUGCCUCAUCCCAACAGAUUUCACCACCUGUGUUGUGUAAGAUCCGCAGAAGAAGAAUCCGGAUUAACCCUCCCCCCACCUCACCCCUCAAUCCUCUCCGCUGACAAGCCACCAGAGCAGCGAGAGCCAAACAUCCACAGGUCAUGAACCCGAGCGGAGGUGAGACUCAGACUCCUCCAAUAAGCUCAAAGUGUUCCAUUAGUAGUAACCUCAGUGUUUGGAGGAAACCUUGUUUUUCUUUCUGCCUCUGUUGGUCACACAGCUGGAGCUGAAAUGAGAAAUUAGUCGAGCGUCUAUCACAGGUUCACAGCCGGCCCGGUAACGUCUUCAUCCUAACCAGGUUCACAGCGGGGCGGAGGAUCAGGUCUGGAGGGGAGAGGUUUGUUUGUGAAGCCUGUUUGGGAAUCCUUUUUGCGCUUCACUUUCAAAAGCCUUCUGCUUUUCCUCUCGGACUCCCAGUGUGACCAAAGAAAUACGUUUACUCUGGGCUGUAGUGGAGCGCUGCAUCCGUCAGUGAGCUGAGGGCUAGAGGAUAAAAGAACAUCCAUAAUUUACACUCACAACUUUUAACACCAGGAAUCUAUUAAAAUGUAAUCAGGAGGGAGGAAUGAAAGAGCAGCUUUGUGCAGAGGAUUCACAGAAAGACCUUCCUGUGUGCUGAUGAAGGGAAAAUCAGCUAAUUACCACACCAGGAGCUGUUUUUGAAUAAUCUUUACGCAAACAUGUUUCUCCAGGCUUCUCAAGGUUCACCUUGUAAUUAGACCUGUUAUUUGGACUCUAAAUGAGAGGACAUAUCUUUUCUUGUAUUUGUUGUUGUAGCCAUUAGUUAUUAGAAUUCACGUUGCAUUACUUUCUAGCCAGGAACCACUUUCAAAUCACCUUGACAGGUCAUGGUACUGCAAUUCCUGAAGUCUGACCGGCAUGCUGAAAACAUUUCCUUCCUCAUGAAACAUUUACAGCAAUAAUCUCUUUAAUCCUCUGAAAUCAGUGUGGUUCACAUCCUCUACAUCCUCCUCCCUGCUUUUCCCUGACCUGUGUUGGUAUUGUUUAUUAGCUUGGGUGCAACCACAGUGACCAACAAGUGCAAAUCUGCGACAAGAGAACAUUUUCAUUUGGAAAGACUAUUUCCAAAGUUCCGCUAAAAACAUGGUACCACCAUCUAGGUUGACCUUUCUGAGGCCUUUAACACCAUGGACCACUCCUUGCUUUUACAUAUUUCACAUAACAGUUGAGUUUACACGUUUACAAGGAUUCUCUGCCUGAUGAGCAAGAGGCAGUCGUUUUUGGGACUUACUUGUUCUGAGACCAGCGAUGUACUUCAAGGAUCUGUUUGGGGUCCCCCUCUUUUAACUGUUGACUGACAGUCUACCAUCUGAGUGAUAUUAAACUUAUUUAAAAUGCUUGUAAAAUUGAAUUUAUAGUUUCUUAAGAGCAGUUACAAUGCCGGUGCAAUGUUAACUGUUUGCAGAGAGAGACACAGGAGUCCAGAUAUAUGUUUUCUAUACUUUUUUUGCCUCGUCAGGGGAUUCCUUUGAGUGAUACACAGGUUUCUGGGGUCAAGGUUUUGAGAAAACAAUCAUAUUUACAUUAAAAAAACAAGUAUUUAAUUUGAACACAACCACCUAAACAACUUCAACGGUUGCAGGGCAGAGAGGGAGGAAGAGAAUAAGUGGGAGAUCACAAAGGAAGAAACAUCACCCGUAACCUUAAUUAUUUAAGUGGGUGAGACAAGAGUCUCGAGCCAGCAGUCUCUGACCUGCUGCACAGAGGCACACAUGCAUGCUGGAGUUAAAAUGAAUAAGUCACACAGCAGCAGGUGAUGGUGUCACAUCAGUGCUCACCUCAGCCCUGGUGGGCUUGAAGUCAAAUUAGGCCAUGGUUAAAAACUAAUGAGAUCUUUGCUGCUACUGCCAGGUUUUUAUAGUCCUUUGAACCAAAGUGAGCACAUAAGCAGUCAUUUACCGAGAUAAAAACUUGUGCUCAGUCAGAACGUAAGCAAAGUACAUUUAAAGGGAUAUUUUAAUACUUGAAGUGAAGUUGUUAAAGUUACAUGUCUUUAGUAGGUGUAUUUUCUCAGUGGAUUCCAGUUAGUUUUACCCCUUUAUUGAAAAACUGCUGGGAGAACCAACACACAAGCUGGGCUAUAGUUUUCUGCAGAUGAGGCUUAGUCUGUUAUUUGAGACUCUGAAGCAAGAACCUUUCUUAUCAGUGAACUAUGAGACUAUUGUCUCUUAGUUGCUCUUAGGAGCUUAAACAUUGUGCAGAACUGGAUGCAAAAAUAUCAAAAAUCAGGAUAGAUCAAAGACUUAUAUUCCAUAGUCUGAUUAGCUUAUCAGCACAAUUCAGGUGGAGGAGCACAUCUGAUGUGUGAUGCAUCCAGAAAUAGUGCAAUAACAACAAUGCAAAUUUAAUAAAUCCAAACUGUCCCUUUAGGGCAGAAAUUAGCUUAACUAAGAAUUCACAUGCACAUGGCUGCAUUUCCUUUUUAUAUGAGCUAUAAAUGAAAAGAUUUCAAAUGACUGAUUGACGACAUCCUCCUUGAAAUGUUCCAGUCCUUUUCCUCUCAGAUAAUUCCUUUCCCUCCGUAAACUCCAGCUCAUGUGGCCACCUUGAUGAAAUAUGCCUAAGAAAGAGAUCUGAUUAGCUCUCUCUUCUGUUCUGUUCUUAACUCCAUCAAAAUCUCUGAGGAUGAAUUCACCCCCCUCCAUUAGCCCGGCAGCCCCCUGUCAUUUCCUUGUUAAGGAUAAUUUGAUUGGGUUGUCGCACCUUUUCCUGCAGAAUGACAGGGGCAGAUUUAAACGUAAUAUGACCUUAUUGUAUCCGACACAGAUCUGAAACCACCGUCUCCCCUCGCUUGUUCCUUUUAUUAGAAUUUCAUGGUGUUUUCUUCCUUAUUGCCUUCUGUGAUUGUCUUAUCUUUAUACAGAACAUGCUGCACUCUGCUGCCUGCUGCUCUUAUUAAUAAACCGACGAAUGCAGACAUUUUCUUAUUCUCUCAUGAGCUUCAAAUAGACAGUGCUGAAGUAAGACUUUUUUAUUGCCAAAAACAAACAUUUUACCAACAAUGAUGCAAGAGAUACAGUAUGCAUGACAACCAGGGAGUUAUUUUUCUGUAAGAGGGAGAAAAGAUCUUUUUAUACAUCCACACAACGUAUUUAAAGUUCUCUAUGUGACUCAACUUUCUGAGGCCAAAAUAUGAUACAACAGCUCUGAAAUGCAGCUAAGACUCUCUCCACUGCAGCAGUUUUCACCUUUAAAUUAUAAUACUUUUUUCAAUCUUUUGAAAGUAAGCGUUUUUUUCUUGCAAAUGAGGCCGAUCAGAGUUUUUAAAAGAGCGUUUUUAAGUUUCUUCAGGGUGAGUUUAAGGGCAGAGGCUCAACAAGCUCAAUAAACACAACCACCCACACAAAGGUACCAUGGGGUUUUUAACUGUGCUGUUGGGAAAAGCAAGUGCUCUGUGGUUUUUUUAAUGAUCUAACCCUUCAGAAAUGUGUUAUCAAGUAUUAUUUGGGUUUUUGUAGGAACUCACAUCUGGGGGAAAAGACUCAAAGGGUUCCUUCCGACAUAAAAGUACUGAUUUUAAGAGAGAAAAUGUUCAAAUUAAAGUCUUUGCUGGUUAUUUUCAUUCAAACAAAUAACAAUUACAUGUUUUGUUUUCUCUUGUUUUGUUUUUUCACAGCGACAGAAAAUAUCGACUGGAUGCAUGAAAAGCAGACAUUUUGGACCUGGUAAGUUUCAGAUCAGUGUUUGAAGCGUGUUAACUCACCUGGAUUCCUUCAUACUACUGACUUCAUGAACCUGGAAUGGCUGUGUGAGACCUUUUGAUACACUUUUUUUAUUCUAUUUUAUGCAGUGUAAAUAAAUUAUCAGGAAGGGUUUUAAAAAAAACAUACAUAAACAUUUAAACUGUUUAAGUGUUUUAAUUAACAAUAAAUAUGUCUGAGUCCCUCUCUUUCCUUUAAGUCAAUGCUUACGUUUGAGGACAAAUCUGAUCUCAUCCACAACUGCAGGAUUCAGAAAAUGCAAGAGUGUUACUUAAGCGUUAUGAUGUGCUAAAAAAACAUUGGGCUUUUUUAACGUUGAUUUAUACCUUAAGACCGAUGUCCUCACCUCCAUGCCAGCUGCUCUUCCUGCACUGUGGCCUCCUAAUGCUAGUCUUAAUUAACCAGAAAUUAGAAAUGAAAAUUGUAACAAGAAUUUUGACAAAAUACAUUUGUUGGUCAAUAUUGCAUUUCAACCAACUCUCCAUCAUUUAGCUGGGGAGAAGAUAGUUAGAGAAGCAAAGACCCACCUUAAGUUGCUUCUGAUUGGUUUAUAUUGUGUGGUGCCAUCCGUGAUUGGUUCGAUUUAGGCACAAAGGACUAAUGGUUGGUCUGGGAUUGGUUAUCUCGGUCAGUCAAUCAGAGUUACUCGAACUACAAGCCAAGUUUAUUAUCAUGAAAAAAAUAAAUACAGAGUAUUGAAUGGGGAAAUAUAAGCAUGAGUGUGGCCACAAAUAUUGAGUGUGGCAUGUGGUGUGAGAAUGGGUCAAAUUGCAUGACUGUCACACUCAAAGCGUGACGCUUGGCAGCUGUGCAACUGCUAGACAUCUGGGUGAUUGUCGGUCAAACUAAAGUGUAUGAGAAAGGGCCUAAAGUUUUGUAUGGGUGUAUGUGUGUACGUACAGGUGUGCAUGCUGCUGGACAAAAUUGUUGUAGCAGUAUGAAUACACACAUCUGAAUUAAAAAAAGGAAAAAGAAAAACCCUUAAAGGGAUGAGAUAAAACUACCAGUAUAAUACAUGAAGACAAAUUAGGCAGAAAUUAUUUUAUAGGAUCAUACUUUGUCAUCUAAUCAAAACUGUUUUAAAAGAUGGUAUUGAUUUAUUAGGUUUAUCUGAAUAAAUAGAAUUACAUAAAUCUUUUAAUGUAUGAACAGCAUUGUGUAAAUUAUAAUACAAAUAUUGUUCCAUUCUAUGGUUUGCUUUGUGGCUAAAAUGCCUUAAUCUGUUUCAUUAAUUUUAUUAAUAUUGAAUUAUGCUUAUUUAAUACAUAGAAAUGUAUUUGUGAUCAAAUGUAAGUUUGACAAAUGUUUUAAGAGCAACUCCGUCCAUGACGUGCAUCAACUCACUUCCGAUUCCUCAUUGGAUGAGUUUGUAGCUACCACAAAUAGACAUGAGGGGUUCCAUGUAUGCAUCCCUUACUGUCUCCACACACACCAAGCGCGAGUAAAAUCCUUCAGGCAAAUGAAUUACAUGUUAAGUCAAUGCAAAGACGUGAUUAGAUGUUUGUACUACUCUUGCGGCGCGAAUAAUGCGGAUUGGGCAGGAGCUGAAAAUGUCUCACCUUUGGCGGAUAUUUGCUCGAUGGUUCUUCACUGGUAUCUAAAAUGGAGGACAAACGGAUCGAGUUGGUGUGUGGGUGCCUCAAAUUAUAUGAUACCUUUUCCCUCAAUUACUGGAAUAACUGGAAUAAAAAGGCGCUCGCCUCGGGUCAAGUGAGUGAGGAGGAUGGAUUACCUGGUAAAUUGUAAAACACCUUUUCUAUCACUGGAUCUGUUGGACAGGUUUGCUACAGUAGAUACAUGCCUCAAGGUCAACAACACACACACAUAUUUCAUAGCACAUUUUAGUAAGACUGUGUGCACAGUGGUUGGCCUGUUCGGUUCGGAGAUAAGUGGCCAAUGAUACCUGGUUGCGUAUAAAGUCCAAGUAUUAAGAUAAUGUGAAUUAUACCCGGAAAUGGGCACAUGUUGUGAUGAAGAUCCUAGGAGCUCUGUCAUCCCGAGUCCAGCGCUGUACUACUUGAUUUAUCUGAGACCUGCAGAUUUCUCUGGUGGUCUUUGAGCAGUCAACUAAAGAACCAAUUCUUACACACAUGUUUAGAUUUGUGAUAAUUUUACUCCUCCUGAUCGUUCGUCAAUAUUUGACAAGUUGGGAAUGAGAACGAGUUGCAGUAUGUGUGCGAGCAUGAAACAACUCCCCGAAAAUCAAACAUAGAGAGAAUAAAUAAUGUUUUGUUGUUCGUGCGGAGUUAAAAAACACAAGUAUGAAUCAUCGAGGGGGAACCUGCACAUUCAUCUCUGCCAGCUUUAUUGUUUUUUUUAGCAGCUCAAUUUUUUGGACAGCAUGAGUUUCAUUUUGCUGCGAAAUUGACAUUUGGAUACCUCAGGUUUGAUUGAACACCAGGCAGCCGUGGGACAGCUGCUGUACACUUUAAUGACAAACCAAACAAAGGAAGAAGGUUUCAGUGAUCAAUUCUGCAGGCGACAGAUUGUUUUAUUAAAACACAUCAGUUUUUCAGGAGCGUUUCGCUGUGUGUGCUGAAUAAUGAUUUCCCUUUAAACAAACGCUCAGAUGGACUGUCUUCAGUUUGAUAUUUUCAUUGCUCAUUUUGGAGCACAGUUCCUUUCACUGCAGUGGAGUUUGGAAGGUUUACAGGUUUUUUUAAUGCAUUAAAGAAAAGGAAAAAGUUCUAUUGGAGUCAAAAAAGUUUAUUUUUAUAAGAGACCAGCAAUGCAUGAAGAAGUUGCACAACAGAACCAGUCUAGGUCCACUUCCACCAUCCUCGCCUUCCAUAAUACUGCUGGCAAUUCCAUCAUAUGUAUUAUAUAUCUGUCAUAUUCAGCAACAGCUCAAGUUCCGUGUGAUGUUCUCCAUGAAACAAUCACUAGGACACAGACUCCACAUGGUGAAAAAAGCUGGCUCUGCGGUUACAAUCAAGAUGGACUCGCAGGAGGAUGUGGUGGAGAGUUGUACACUGAGGAAGGUGGAUAUUAUUCUAUAGAACAUGGAUCAUAACACCUUGAUGGACCAAAAAAUAAAAAUAACAAUGGUGGUGGACAGCUCCUCUCACUUUGCUGCAGGACGGAGAGAUUAAGAAGAUUUUCUGUACCCACAGCCAUCAGACUCUUUAUUUCUUAUAAUAACAUUAGAUGACAUGAGAUUCCAGACAAAUGAGUUUCCCUUUGGGCAUCAAUACAGUUCUUGUGUUGUAUUGAAGGAAUAAAAGCAUAUUUAUUUUGCUUUUUUAUUCGUAAAUGAAGCCUGUAUGAGCAAUGUGUCUCCAUCUUCAUGUUCAUUUAUGGUUUCAGUUGGUAGUUUUCCUUUGGGGACAAUAAAGUUGAAGUUGAAGCUGUUAAAAAAAUCCAUUAGUUUUUAAUUGCCCUACUUUGGCUAGUUUAGAGGAGGUGAAAUUAAUCUAAUAAAGUCCAUGAAAUCAGAAAUUUGAUGUUUUUCCCUUUAGUUUCUACAACACCCUGAGUGCAAUGUUUAUUAAGUUUAUCCAUUGAUAAUUCAAAGUAAUUAGAUCCCUUCGUUUUAGUCCUGACUGAUUCCUCUGCUGCUCUCUGUUGCUCUGGGUUUGUAAAUUAUUAAUGAUACAAAGAAGCCUCCCUUUCUUCUCAAUACCACAACCAGAAUAAAGCAUCUUUGAUGGUCUGGAGUUGGUUUAAGAUGCAGUAGUAAAGUAAUUUUUUUAUAGAUAGGCAUCUUCUUAACUCCUUUAUUUUGUUAAAUAUAGAUUUAUAUGUUAUAGCAUAAACAAAUGAGUGUGUCCUGUAAUUCUAUAUAGAUUAUAGAUUUUUAGUAAAAAGAAAAACAAAACAUGUUUGACAGCUUACAGCGGAUUCAUUAAGUUAGAGCUUCAUAGACAAUAUUUAUGCUCAGAAUGGCUUAACCUUAUACAUGUAUAGUAACUCAACGCCCAGGUUUAUUGACAGCAAAAUCACUGAUGACCUCAAAUGAUUCACAAGCUUUCAAAUAACAGCAGCCGGAUGAAAAGACUCAGCGCAGCGUCAGACGAGAACCAUGGGUCUUGUUAUUAAUCACUGGCGAUAGCUUUUCACACAAAGUAAGUGGCCUGUUUUCCUCGAACACAGCAACUCGCUCGCUUUAACACAUUAGAGCUCCAUUUACACCCGCCGCUGCUCCUCAGCCGCCUCCAGCCUCCAAAACCACCCUGACACGAUGCAGACAAGAGAGCUGUUUGGGAGCAGAGCAGGAAAAUAACCAGCACAAACUUCAAAAUAAAAAGAUCAACUCAAAUUGUUUUUUUUUUUGCACUUUAUACACUAUUUAAAGACACGCCCCCUCAAUCAAAUGCAAAUUAAGACAGCAGGGACUCUUUUUUAUCUUGUAGCUGUGCAUUGCUCUGUGAAAUGUGGUUACACAGUCAAUAACACGGAUUGUAAUGAUGAUGUGCCUCCUUGAUAAGCUUUUGAAUGUCUGUUUUUAAAAAGAGUUUAAUCAUCUCUCAUAGUGCUGCUACAGCUAGAUCACUAGCAGCUGCUGAUCUUAUUCAUCUCUCCUCUGAUUUAUGGCAUAUUACAACCAGCAUUAAAGCUGGGGUAAGCAAGAUCUCAGAAGUGUCAGUUUUUGGGAGAAAUCUUGAAUGUAAACACUACCCCUUCCCCACCAGUUUCCCCCUCAGCUCCUCCUCUCCCCUCGCUUGCUGCUCCACAAACAGACGCCCGCGCUUGCUCUGACUUCCUGGCAAUUUACUACUAGACUAGUAAAUUAUCAUUAUCAUUACCAAUCACAUCAGCAAAGACUUGAACAACUUUUCUUACAACAGAGUCAGCAGUAGUAAUGGUGCAUAAAAGAUGACACAUAAGAUAAAAUACAACGUAAAUUUAUUGAAAAAAUAAUAUCCAAACAAUAAGUCCUCUUGGUCAGAUGUACAUCUUGUGGGGCCUUUAUGGUGUACAAACUCCUUCCUCUGGACUUUCUGUUAUACAAUUUGCAGUACCUGAAACGAAGAGGGGGAGAGGGUGGUUUGAAGAUAUUACUCUGUCUCAAAUAUCUGUUGUACUUCUGUAAACUUUCCAAGCUGCUUCAUCAGUCAACAACACCACAAUGCAGGCUUUUUUAAAACAAUGGUGCUUCCAAUUAAAUGCAGAUAUAAUAAAGAUCAAUAUUUUAGAUAACUAGAAAUGGGGCCCAGUCAACAUGAAAGGAAAUAGCAUUGGUGCAACUGUAGGACUACCAUGCAGACACUGGCGACUGUAGGUGUGCAAUAUAACCAGAAUGUCACAUCCUUCAACCUCUUUAAUACAGCGGCACCUGUACUCUGGCCACUACAACCACCUGCAAGCAGAGAAAACUAACGUUAGCAUUGGGCUAAUACAAGCUACAAAAGUAGCUAAGCUGGUGAACACUACAUUUUUGGAGGGAAAUAAAAAAAUCCACCAAAGCAAAGCAAAUAAUUACCCUUCCAACAGAAACAAAGCAACCGCUCUGUUGUCUCCAACACUCAUAGGCUGCCCAGAUGUUGACUCUGGUUUGUCCUCUGGCUUUAUCCAGAGCCUCCUUUGUCCCUUUCUGCCUCCGUCUUUCUCUGUAACGGGUACAGCUGGAACUGGUAUUUUAGGCUGCUGUUUCUCUGCUAUUGUAAAAUGGUCACAUAUUCUCCAGCUAACAAGGUAUUUCGACAGAGGAGCGUGCUUGCUACCUGAGGCAACGGCGAAGCAAUGUGUGUGCCCGUGGGUGGGGGGGUGGGAUGGGGGGCAGAGGGGAGCUGAGCGGGCGCGGGGUGAAGGACUCUGAUUGGUUCUUUACAUUCAGACCGAAUGCUAUGAUUUGUCAAAGUUUUAACAGUCCUGCGGCUGCCACAGAUCUCAGAUUCUUUUCGUGUCUCUUUCUGAAUACAUAAUGAAUUGACUACUUUCAGGGUGGAAGGACCAUUUCUUCCACUAUGAUAAAAAGUGUCUCUGAACAACACUGCCUACCCUGCCUUUAAGGACGACUAUGAACUCAUGGCAUGACUCAUUUCAGUCUUCAAGGAGACUGUGAUUGUCCCUUGAUUGACCCUUCCAAAGUGGGUAGUUAGUUAUGUGAACACUAUUGUACGAUGCUCUGUUCAGCAGCUAGACAAGCUUUAGCAAAGGGCUUUUGGAGUAAAUUUAAGUCCUAUCCAGUUUGCCUGGACUCCAAAACUAGGUUAAAAAUUUGAUUAAAAAAACAUUUACAUCCUCCUCAGUUCAAAAACAAGCUAAUGAAAACAGAAAAUCAGCAUUUAAAUUUUCUGCAAUAUCCAAUAUUUCUGCACCCACUUUGACUUAAGUUUGCCUGUAAAUGGCCUAUAAUCGGAGGUUAGGGAUUGCUGUAUUUUUUUAUGUCUUUUACUGACCAGUGGGUGCUUGGGCAUCCAUUUUCAACAACAGAUACUCAAUAAAACACUCAGAAUUGCUUUAGACACCCACACUCGCACUCAAAGAACAUCUCUUUUUGUCCCUUUAGCUGCUAAAAACAUUUGACUGUAUUUGUCAUGAGCUUAAUACUUCUUUUGUUGGUUCACAAACAUGUCUAUUAUUGGCUCCAUUAUUCGCUCCCACAAGGACAGUUUUAUUCCCCAUACAUCAUUCCAGUCUAUUUGUUCAGAGAGGUUUAAAUUGUUGUUCAGGCUGCUUUAUUAUUGAUUAUUCAUUAGAGGUGGUGAGGUUAAGGUUAAGCAUUACCAUUUUAUCACCGUCUGAUCAGAGUUCCUGUUAUAUGGUGUGGAAACAUGCACAGAGCUGAUAAAGUCAGCUGAUGUGGUGUGGAGAACUUCAAAUUGGCAGAACCUGUCCAGAGAUGGUGUUUUGCCUGCAGGAGAGCAAACAGCGAUUAUGUCAGUGCAUGGAUGUUUUGUCCCGAUUUAGACAAGAACAAAAGAUGGAUGGAGCUAAAGAGGACAUAAAGCUUCUCCCUGGUUGAAUUUUUCCACCUUUCCGAGAGCUCAAAACUCUAAAGCAGUCCAGUCAGCAGCUGUAACAGGAUACACCCUCUUUGGCAUCUUUGUGUCCUGUUUUUAGACUUUAUCUAAGGACACUUUCAGGUCCUUGCAAGGCCAGCAGCUGAAUGAUAGCUGAAAAGGACUCAGAGUGGCUCUGAGGAUUGAAGCAAGAGAGGAAAUAACAAAAAAAGUCUCCUGAUCGUCAUCUCCUGAACAGACAUUUGGUGGGAAAUGAUGUGGAAGCUGGGUCUGUAAUGUUCACACAGUAAACUCCACUGUAAGUGAAAUGAUUUCACAAACAUGAUGUAAAAAGCAAUCCUCAGCUCACAUUUGGCCGUUCCAUUGACAUGGUUUUCAAAUUUGGUGCAGGCCAUUAAAUCGGGGUGGAGGAAAUAAGAAAAUAUUUUCCAUGUGUUUUACAAGCUGCAGCAGAAGCAGACUGAAUACAGAUCAUAUUCCUGUCGUUCAGUGUAAGUGAUUUUCUGGCAAAGAUAAGACCAAUCCGCUGCAGGUAAGAAACCAAAGAACCUGAGAGAAACACACAUACCACCUGGAAAUAGCUAUUGUAAUGCAUGCUUCCUUUUGAGCUUAUUAUCACCUCUUCUUUGAGAUUAUCACCCACCGGCUGUGAUGGCGCCCUCAUCAGAUCCUCUCUGAUACUGUCAGCAUGCCCUGAGUCUUAAUUGAUAAAUGAAAUCAAGAAGCUAAGAUCGUCUAUGUAAAUGUUCACACAUCUAUUGAUUUAGAAACUUCCUGAUACCUUUAGGAAAGAGAGACAGAAAUUGUUUCAGAUUUGACAUGAAUCCAUGCCAUGACCUGUAUGUGUUUUCUGUACAGUUGGGCUACAGCUGUAAGAGAGAGACUCCAGUCAGUCAAAGUAGAAAGGGUGUGUAGUAGGACUGGGUGUGAUAAAUUUCAGUUCGAUCACGGUGAUCUGCUGUGAGCAUAUUUACCCAAUCAAACAUAGCGGAAAUGUGUGUGACAACAGCCAAUCAGUCAAGCUUUUCCUGCUCACUUCUGUAAGUUACUACAGAAGUAAACAGGAUGAGUAAACAAAAUGACCGAACAUGGAGCUAAACGUGGAGCUGAGGGCAGCAAAACAGAUGUCAGCCAUGACUUUGAGUCAUCCUCAGAAGUUGCCAUUGUUGAGAAGAAAAGUUAUAUAACGUCGGUUGUGUGGCGGUGGUUCAGGUAUCUCCAAAGUGACUUCGAGCAAUUAUGCCGAUGUGCAAGGUAUGUCGGCAUAAUUGCUCGAAGUCCUCAAAAACUGGCAACACAACAGAUCUGCUUAAUUAAUUUGAAAAAGUACUUCCCGAGUGAUUAUGAAGAAAGCAUGAAAAUGCAAGCGGAGUCUGUACAGCCUGCCACUGCCGACAGCACAAGUAGCAUUAGCAGUUUAGCCACAACUAGCAGUGCAGCCACCAGACCAAAGCAAUCAAUCAUCUUAUCUACGUUUGCAUCCUCUAAUGUUUACAUUUUAAGGUGUCUUCAUUAUCUCUGAGGGGGGGAUUUGUUUAUUUUGGGUCUUGUAUACCUGCAAAAACACUCAGGACUGUAAACUAGUUCAUUGUAUGAUUUAGUAUUUAUCUACAUUUGUUGUACUGUUGAGUUAAAGUGUUUUUUAUAUUUUUCAAUGUUUACUUUAUUCAAGCUUUGUUAUUUACUGGGUAUGUUAAUAAAAUGUUGAAAUAAUCUCUAGUUUCUUUAGUUUUUAGUACAGAUACUUUAAAACUGGCAGCUUAAAAAAGUACAAAAAUAAUUGUGAUAAUAAUCGAGAUCAGAUGAUAUGACAAAAUACAUUGUGAUCUUUUUUUUUUUUUGUUAAAUCGCCCAGUCCUAGUGUGUAGUCUGCUGUGUAAAUAGUAACACACCUGUCUGCAGGGUCACUUCAUUCUUAACACACCUAUAAAUAAUUAUGGGACUCUAUCUAACCUCUUUGUGCUCUGUUGCCGACUUGUGUGCCCCUUAAUAUAGUCUAACCUGCCCUGAUCCUCUUUGCACCUUGAACUUCAGACAGUGUUUUAUAUCACUCAGAUAGUCUUUGAAGGACAAUGAAGUAAAGAAGCAUCGCCAAAGUGCCAGAGACCAAAUGCCACAGUUCUGUGUGUGAUUUUUGUUUUCCAGCACAGAGACCCGGGGCCUAUUCUACGAAGCAGGUUCAACCUAGCGAGAAAGCCUUGGAGCUACCUCGCUCAAUUUGGCGCGGUAGCCAGUGGUCUCGUUAAACGGUCUUACGACGCUGGUUAUCAACCUCGUAAGUGGAUCCAGCUUUGCUAUGAGCGCGUGCACGCAUGUAAGGCGGAGCCUGCCGCAUCUGACCAAUCGCAAACAUGGACCAGUCUGGAACGUCAGAGCAGGCCAGAGAGCGAAAGACCGCGGACUUUACAAACAAGGAGCAGGAAACGAUCAUGAGAAAGUAUGAAGAAUUCAAAUCUAUCAUAAACCUCAAAAGCAACACCGUCGCCGCUGCAAAAGCACGGAAGGGAUGCUGGCAGAAAAUUUCAGACAGUCUCAAUGCGUAAAUAUAGUGCGCUAAAAAUCUUUGAUACCAUUAUCACCCUGAAAUAGAACUGUUCAACAUGUGCUUGUAACAUGCACCAGACAUGUUUAAUUCAUUUCCAAGAUGAAUUCAUUCAUUUGUUCAUUCCUAUCGUGUUUACAUAUCUGUGUGAUAUGUAGGCCAUAUGAACCUAUCAUAAAGGUGGUCAUCCGGAAAAGUAAGUGGGUCUGUGCGGUCCCUGAAAUCUCUCUCGCGCCGGAGUGCUCCUCAGACAAUGCAAGCACUGAGGUCUACAGGAUCCUCCAAGAACGGAGAAGCCAUUUUUCGAGAGAGCUCAUUGGUCAGUGGGCGGGGUUUUUAUACUCUGUGAGUUCAAUCUGGAACUUAACCUGCGCCGAAGCAGGUUAGCCGUUCAGCGUAUGUUGCUAUAGAGAUUCACCUCGCUAAGAAGUGAACCCGCGUCGUAGAACAGGAAACCCCAAACUUACCCUCGAAGUUACCUCGCUAAGCAGUAAUCCUGCUUCGUAGAACAGGCCCCUGCUCUCAUUAGACCAUUAAAUCUACUCCUCUUGUUGUUGUGUUUAGAUUAAAUACAGGGUUAGACUCGUUAAGUGAUGGCUUUGGUUCCCUGUGCUAACUGCCUGUAGACUACUACACGUUUGUGUGAGUGUGCUGAAACUGGACUGGUAUAUUUGGAUAGUCUAGUUACACUAAAAGUAUAUCUUGGUUACAAAAAGCUGGGCAGUUACUUUAAGAAGUGGGGAUUAGUUAUUUUUACUUUUAGGUCAUUUUGUCAGAUUGUUGAUAACUGAAAUCUGGAGUAUCACCAACCUUGACUUGUAGCCAGGAUGAAAUGAGAGGUCGACUGCAUCAUUUCUUCAGGCCACAGUCCCUCUUUGACUUUCCUUUUUCGCUGUACAAUAUAUCUGAAAAGGUGGAGCAGUUUGUUCAGAGAGGAGAAAUGAGUGCAGAGCCAGCAGUCUGCCCUGAGAUAAAUGAUGAGCCCAGCUGAUCCCCCGCAGUGAUCAGAGGCUUCAGGUCAGUGUCAGUGGACUGCAUGAGCAAAUCAAUGAUCCUUUCAGAAGCCAGCUCAAGUAAUGAAGCUUCAGGUAGAGACUUGGGGGUCUAAAUCCUCGACAAGAUCCACACCUUAAAACAAAAUCCUCCAUAAGUCCAUCUGUAUUAUGACUGACAGCAUCCACAGAAACAUGAGCCUCAGAGAGCUGGAAUUUAUAAAACUGUUUUUUCUUUGACAUGUGGCUUUGCUCCACAGCUUCUCUUUAUUUAUUCAGCUCCUCCUCUUUUUAAGAAGAGAUGUUCAAACCUCUGCAGCAGGUUAAAGUUUUGAUUACUUUGAAUUUGUUGGGGUUAAUACAGCGUUAUAAUUUUUCUUUUUAGCCAUCAUUUCUACAUCAAGGAAAUUAAAUCUGGUAAAUCAGGUUGAUCAAUGCUUGGUUAACUGCCUAAAAACCAAUCAAAUUUAGAGUCUGACAGGGCAAGUGCACAACAAAGCAACAGUAUCCAUCCACCGACUACCUCUCCAGUAUGAUUUAUAAUUACUUCAGACUCAAACAGGUUCCAAAAAAUCCAGCAAACAUUCACAGACUUUGGAUAAUUGAAGCUGAACUGUACACUUUCAGAGUAAAGUUCAUGUCGUGUUUGUAGGUUUGUGUACAGUACAUACAACUAUUAAACAUUUAAAUAGUAUAAGGAAACCUAAGUAAAACUUACUCUUCCAUCACAAUUCAUGUAUUACGUUAAAAAAAAACGUCAUUUUACUUAGAAAACUCUAGUUCUUACUGAAUCUUAAAAAUACAAGGUAGAAAUUACGACAGUUUGUUUAAUAGAGUUCACUGCACCAAAAGGUCAGUUUUUUCUGUGUAAGGAGAGGGGCCCAUGAAAAUCCUGAUUUUUUUUGUGAUGUUUUAUUUCGAAUGAAUUGGGCCCUCAAUUAAUUGGUGUCACAAUUUAUUUCAAAUAUAUUGAUAACAUCAACUGAGAGACUAAAAUCUAUGUCACAUUCCUCCAAACAUAUUGGACAUUCUGGGGGCCCUCUCUUGGAGGCGCAGAAUGGUUUGGUCCACCCAACAGCAUAUGGCACAAGUGUAACGCCAGUGAGCCCAGACUGAAUGACCUGGGGGUUAGACAUCAUGCCGCCCAAAAAGCCUAAAUCAGGGUAUCAAAAGAAGAAAGAGAGGAGAGUAAAAGAAAGAAGGCAGAGUGAGGGGAGGCAGCUGUUGACUGCUUUCUUCCACAAAGGUGAAUCCAGUUUGCUUGUUCUGCAAAGUCCAAUUAAAGUUAACGAAAAGAAAACUCCUCCUCCACCUCCAUGCUGUGGAUUUAAAGUAGACCCCAUCUCUACAUCCAUCAGUGCAUCAGUUUCCUCAUCCACCUGUCCACCAGUCUGCCGCUCAGCUUCAGCCCCCUUUCCCUGCUCACCCAUGAGCCUGUCUGUCUCCCUCAGUGUCUCCCCCAGCUUCACCUCUAAAUGAGCAGGCAUCAGACGGCCCUCCCUCCUACAGCGAAGACAUUUCCUAUUUUCAGAGGUGACAUCAAUGACAGUCAAAGUCAUCAACCCUGAGAUUACACCAAAUUGAGCACCUCAUUCCUCUUGUUUAGGAUCAUCUAGACCUGACAUCUGUGAGAGACCACAUGGCUCAGCUGGUUACAUUGGAUGGCAGAGAAAGAGGAGACACAGAUUUGAGAAAAGAUUAUGAGAAGAGUAAACAAAGAAUUAACAACAAGCACAAACCAAACAACACAUAAAGAAAGAGAAACCAACAUUCCUUCAGGGGUCAAGAAGUCAGAGAGAAAGAGAGAGAGAGAGAUUUUUUUAUUUAUUUUUGAAACCAAACCUUUAUUACCCAUCCAUCCCGUCACAAAAACUUUAGCAAAAACAAACACAAAACUCCAACAGCGAAAAACAGGACAUAAUCAACCGAGACAAGAUGACAAAGGAAAAGGCUCAAAACCUCAGGACCAGUGAAUUCUCCUGGACUGUACACAAAACCCCAUUCACAGCCCAGGUCCCCACAAAAACCUCUGUUUGGUCUGUAAA